rnacentral:rRNA from 1 species
UACGUAGGGUGCGAGCGUUAAUCGGAAUUACUGGGCGUAAAGCGUGCGCAGGCGGUCUGUUAAGACCGAUGUGAAAUCCCCGGGCUUAACCUGGGAACUGCAUUGGUGACAGGCAGGCUUUGAGUGUGGCAGAGGGAGGUAGAAUUCCACGUGUAGCAGUGAAAUGCGUAGAGAUGUGGAGGAAUACCGAUGGCGAAGGCAGCCUCCUGGGCCAACACUGACGCUCAUGCACGAAAGCGUGGGGAGCAAACAGG